GGACAGAGGGAGACCCACUGAGCCCGGUGCCUGAAGGUAGCUUGGGUGGAUUGAUAAGGUUUUGUUGUUAGAAAAACGCAUCCACGGCAGGUGAAAGAUGAGAAGAGCGUUUCCUGAGCUCCAAACAAUCAACUCGAGCCACGAACUGUGGAUUUGCUCAAGUUAAAGACCAGCAGCCAGGCUAUCAAGAUGGCAGUGAGUAAGGCACUGUCUACCAAGGCUGACGACCUGAGUUUGAUGAUGCUUGGGUCCCACAAGGUGGGGAGAAAAACAAUGUUAACAGGUUGUCUUCUGACAGCCGGUGUUGUAGCUGGAGACAGCCCUUAGCCUCACACACAAACAGUUGAACAAAUGCGAUAAAACAGAAGAGGAACCUAAAGCUAGCUACACAGAUAACUGGGACAGAACUGGCUACUGUUAGGCCAGAAAUCCUUCUGCAGUACGAAGUGUCUGGGUUUGGGGGGUGCCUCAGUUUAAUCUUAUAGACAUCACUGGGGCUUCAGCACAAGGACCAAAGAUUUCCUCAUAAAGUUAUCCCUUUGUUUCUCAAAUUACAAUGAGACCCCAGUGUCUCAGCAGCCACAGGGUGGAGAAGUUAGGUCUCUGAAAGAUAAACAGAAGAACAACUGGGUAAGCAACACUCCAGCACCAGGACGACUUCUGAUGAAGUCACAAGGUCACCCAAGUGCCAAAGCACAAAGACAGCCAGGUUCAUUCUGGGUGCUUGGCAUGCCACAGGCACGUUCUGAGUGUUGCCUUUAAGUUAGGAGCAGCUCCUCCCUCUAGAGCAGAGUCAGGAAAAUGACAAAGGGGUAAACUGUUUGCAGUGUCAUUAUUCCAUGCUUCAUAGUCAGAAGACUUCAAAGACACCUCAGAGUUAGAUCCAUGCCAGGCUGGGUCCCCGUUCUAAACACAGAUACUCUGCCUCCCUAAUAACACAGCUUCACCACAAGGGGUGUUCACUCACACUGGCUGGAGAAGAGACCAGGGGGAAUCAAUAAAUCCUUGUGUACCCCAAGGCAAAGAAACCACACUUUGUCUUAGCUAUAGUGACAAAACUCUUUCACCCACGAGAGAGAGAGAGAGAGAGAGAGAGAGAGAGAGAGAGAGAGAGAGAGAGAGAGCGCGCACAGGUCAAAGGUUAACUCCUAUCCUCCUAGGCCGCUCCUUAGGAGCCGUCCACCUUGUUUGUUGAGAUGGUUCUCACUGGGACCUGGGCUGCUCAUUAGACUAGGCUGGCUGGUCAGCAGGCUCUAGAAACACUCUCAUCUCGGCUUCCCGGUAGUGGUAUGGUAAACUCAUGUCACCAUGCCCAACAUGGUUGUUUAUACACAAGUGCUGGGGAGCCAACCUGGGUCAUAAAGCUUGUGUGUGCGGCAAGCAUCUCGCAGCCUGCGCUCUCUCCCCGGAACCACAGAAUGGUUUUAAAGGGUUGGAAUAUGGCAGUGCACAGCAUUUGUCUACCAUGCACAAGUAUCCUUGAGUUUGGUCCACAGAAUCAGAAUCAAAAUCAAAAAAAGGAAAAUUAUAAUUAUCCACUAUACUUAAACAAAUUGCUCAUAUAAUUAAAAGCUAGAGUGGAAGUUAGCCUCCUGCUACAGUGUCUUAACUUCCAUGCUGUACUUUCACAGCAGAGCUGAACUGCAGUCGACGAAUGGCUACCACGAAAGUUCACUUAGGAGUUAACUCAGCUUUUAGAAUUCACAUACGAACAGCAGGAAUGUUUGCACAGUGACUGUUUCUCUAUGUGUACAUCACUGUUUCACCUCUGUGGACUACAUGGCAUCUACAUGACUUAAUUAUCUACAUGAAACAAAUUUAAGCUACCAUAAGGAGGAGAAGAGGGGAGGGGAGGGAGGGAGGGGAGAGAAGGACAGAGGAGUGGGGAAAGCUGCAAUCUCACACCACACUACAGAAGUCAAAAGGAGCUAUGAUCUAACUGAGGUAAAAACAAAAGUGUCUCAGUAUUUCAUAAUCUAAAUGGAUGUCCACAAAGAUAUCCAAAUAUGUAAGCCAUGCCUGUGGGCUCAAGCCUGCAAUCCCAUUUCUCUGGAGACUGAGGCAGGAAGGCUGCCUGGGUUCUAGACAGUCUGGGUUACAGGGUGAGUUUCACUCAGGUCAGCCCGGGUUACAAAGUAAAACCUUGUCCCAACAAUUCAAAGGGGAGGGGGGCAAGGGAGAAGGGAAGGAAAAGGGAAAGAAGAGAAUUAAGAAAGAAGAAAUCUUAACUUACAGGCAAUUGAGUGAUAUUACUGAAUCAACCACUGCCUAACUGAUAGUUGUUGCUCACUUUAAAAUAAAAAGAUGAUCACUUAUCAAAUAUAGUAAUCCUCACAAAUCUAUAUAAACUAAAAAGCAAUAUAUCUACUCCCCCUUCAUCCAAACCAUUCCCAGGAUUUGUUACCACACUCCAGAAUAUACUUCUAGGCAUUCUGUGGCUGCCCAUAUCCAGUGUACUUCACAUGCAAAUAUAAAUCCACAUUCUUCCCACUUAUCAGUAUGCUAAGCCACCUCUCCAGUCAUUGCCUCUAGAGUUAUCUACAGUUUCUCCUGAACACUGUCCUACUGCAUGGGCACACACCUAAGAAUCUAAGGAUUCUUUCAUUGGCAGGCAGAUAUUGAAACAACGUCCAGGUUCUUGUGGUUGUAAACAAUUAUAAAAUGGGUGCCUUGGUCUAUAUCUGUGUGCAUGUAUGAUGAGUAGUUCCCCAAAACAUUCCAUACAGUCUGUGUGCAAGAAAAAUCAGCUUCAGCAGGAACCCAGAAAGGCUAGAGCGCAGCCCACUCUGUCCUUAAUCUAACACUUUUAACUCACUCUGGUGCGUGACUUCCUCACCUAAUCUGCUUGAACAGUGGUCUUGUCAUGGCUUAGAGUAAGAAGGUUUUAUGAAUUCAUUGCAACCUUAGACAGGACAAGCAUUUUCACAUGCACAUGCAUGUGCACGUGUGCACAAGCACACACACACACACACACACACACACACACACACACACACACGGAAUAAAUGGGGAGAAGGAAGAAAUCAGAGAAGGGAAAAAUAGAGACAGUCUAAGCAAAGGAGCAGACCCUUGCCCUCUGUCCAGCAGUGUUCCUCAGCUUGCCAGGAACGGAGGAGGGUUUCUGGAAAGGCCUGGACCCUUGCCCGAAGUUCACAGUAGCCUUAUGUUUGCCAGGCCUGGGAAGAAACUUUCCAUUCUCAAUGAACAAGCAGCAGAUACAAAUGCCGGGCUGUGAAGAUUCUAAGAAGGCAAGGAACAUCGCACAUAUGACAGAGCAGAGGGGACAGCAGCUUUCCAUCUUCCUGGCCUUGGCUCCGCUCCUCAACAGGACUAAAUGGGAGGAUUAAGGAACCUCACCAGGAAGGGAGAUACCGGCUGCAGUCACAAAUGCACAGGAAAAAUGACUUCUUCCACUGGGGAAGUCACUUGCCCCAUGUGCAGAACAGGAAGGAGCUGGGAGAAGGGAAAACCCAAUGCCUCACCGCCAGGCCCACUUGUUACCCUGGAGAGUUUGUUCACACAGUCCCACUGACCCUGCAUCUAUCCAGCACCGAUCGGUGGUAAUUUCAAGUGACAUAACAUCAAUGGGAGAUUCUGAGAUACAUCAAGAGAGGCAGAAUUGGUAAUGUGCCUACAAUGGGCUACCAAAGGCAACAAAAGGAAGGGACUGUGAAGGAUAAAUGGCUUGGGGAUCAGAUCAAAGAAUUUGCCACCAAUCACAGAGACAAACUGUGCCUCAACAUUUGUGACCCCACACCUGCUGGAAGAAGGUCAUAGCUCUAAACAAACACUGCACAUGUGGGCACAUAUAAACAUGCACACAUGCAGAGGUCACACUAAGGCAAAGCAAGUCAGAGAUAUCAAACUGGAGUAUUAACCAGAAGACAGGACACCUGUGUAGACCGAGGAGUACCAAACCAGACGGAAAAAUUAAGACUACACGGCAGUCUGCAGUAAGGAGAAACAGCCUUCUAUUCCAAACAACUCGUUGAUGGGUCACAGAGCAGAACUCCUCUGUCCUAAAUGGGGCUGUGAGUCUAACGGACAUGCCAGAUGGGUGGCUAGCUCCCGAAGCCAGGCCGAUGGCAGGGGGAAACCUGCAUACGGUUUUCUACCUCAGGCGUUCUUGGCAAGAAUCAUCGCCCACCUGUUGCAAAGCCUGUCUGUGGGAAAGAAACACACAUGGUCAUGGGUCCACAUAUGGAGCCUGCUAAGGUCAAGUCUAAGGCUCUUCCUUCCAGGAGAGACCUCAGGUAGAAUCUCUGUGACUAACUAAACUAACAUACUGAGUACUUUUUGUUUUCUAUAUCCACUCACUAAUUAUGUGAAAAAAUGUCACAACAGAGGGUCCAGGGACCCACAGAAGUACUGACCUUUACAGGGAACCUGGUCAAGGCUUCAGAAGGGUCUCCCUAGGAGCUGAGAUCUUAAGGAAAGAAGGAUUUGGAAUUGGUAGCAUGGAAACUGGAGUAGCACUGUAAGCAAGGGUUUUGAGGUAAGAUAGUCAAACGCUGAGUAGGCUUGAGGAGUGUUUAAUGAAAGUACAGAAAGAGGGGAUGAGCACAUCGCAGUGACACAUGCUAUGCCCGGGUGACACACACAAUGCCAGGUGACAAAUGCUAUGCCCAGGUGACACAUACUACACUUACUGACUGUCUGGCCAGCACAGGUUGUACUUGGUAACACGUGGUUAGCAGGGUGCCUUGGUAGAGGGGUGAGCAUGGGAAAACUGUCUAUACUUCAUAGUCACCGUAGACUUUUACAGCAAGAGGACUGACAGGCCACCAAAGCGGGAGCUGCCCUCAAAACACAGAUGUGACAAACUCAGAGACUAUGAGUAGGUAUAUCAAAUUAUCUUAAAAUUCCAAUGGUGACUACACACUCUGGAAUUAGUAAGUUUAAUAGAACGGUUUGUUUGGGGGGGGGGUCAUAUCAUCUCUCCGUUGAUGCGUACUUACCAAGCCCAGAAACAUACUACACUACACAAAAAGAAUAAUGCUAUCCACUUAGAGGUAUGCUUUUUCUGCCCUUGAGCCUACUUGAGAUGAUAGAUGAUAUUUAAUCGCUGCCAGAAGAUAAGACACAGAAACUUGGAGGAACAGCAGAAGGUUUCCUUAUUCUAGGACAUUCUCUACAAACCCAGUCACGUCCUGGAGAGAGUGCAGACUGAGAGCACAGCGCAUGUCAUGGGGAACAUGGCCGUGCCCUGCCAAGCCAUGCCGGUGGGGUGUAAUGCAUUCUGUCAACCUUGACCCCAACAGAGCUGGGCCCUCCACCUUGCUCUCCAAGUCUCCGAACGCUUUUCCCAAGCCUUGGGGCACAGUGCCAGAUUGAGGCUAUCAGCAAGAUGGUUUCUUUGAUGAGAAAGGGACAAAGUUUCUUUUCUUCUCUCCUCCCCUCUUCCCAGGAGAAGGGACACAUCGCUAUCAGGACUUGUCAGGGUCAUCUGCUCAGCUUCCGGCACCUUCCAUUGCCACACAGGGAUGGUUGUGGUGAACAAGGACUGAAAUACUAGGGUGGGGAUGGGAGGGGCUGUGAUAGGGCAGAGGAAAUAAAUGGAAACAAAGCCAAAAUCAAGAUCUAAGCACAAGGAAGCACAGAUGGGGCAGGGUGGGGGGAGGGCAGUUAAAAAUGCCUCAAGGCAAGACUAGGCAGAGGAAGGUACACAGAGACAAAUAGCUGUGUAUGGUGGGGCAGGAUGAGCUGCGCCUGGACCCCAUUACCCGGAGUCAAGGUUACUCACACAUCUGUCUUUCAUUCCCACACUUACGAGAAAUAUUUUCAUUUUUAUCAUGGGGGAGAAUGAAAGGACCCAUGCUGUAAGAGCAUGGCCUUGGUUAACUCCAAGCACUCUCUCAUCCACCGUAUGGCCCUGGACUUGUUCUCCCACCGCCCAGGCCACUCUCUGGGUGGACCAACCAUACAGAAGGUCAUUGGGAGAACUUUUAAAGCACACGCAGUGCACUGUUCUUACUAAGCAAUCAAUAACUUCGAACUAUUUUAGAAAAGUGCAUCAGCCACUCAUCAAAAUUCUAAUUUCAGGACCUCGAUAACUCCUUCCCCAAUUCCCUGGUCUGAGGAGAGAGUCUGUGCAUAAUAAACAGGGGGCUGCUACCAACAACCUGCUGAAGUUUCACCCUGGAAGGAGAGUCCCUCGGAGGUGUCAGGUGCUACCAGGAUAAGUACAUAUUCUCUCACAUUGUAACCUUCAGUUCUUCUAAGUGAGAAGGCAUUCCUAACUGCACCGUUCUGGAUGCAUUAGUCUUUGGUUGAGACUAACUCUUACUGUGUGCCCAAGGCUGGACUCAGACUUAAGCAUGCUGACAUUACAGGCACGAAUAACUCCAGGACUCAGCUUUUCUUUAAAGAUGCCCUAUGUCUUAGGUCUCCUACCAGCCUGAGCCCUGGUGUCAGUAACCCCCAGCCUCUUCGAAAGAUUACAAGAAAGACAUUGUCUCUUCUGAGCCUGGGAAAAGAAAAAUAAGAUUUCAAGAAGCACCCUGAUAGUAAAGAGCUUGAGAAGACAGACUCGGCCUUCCAGAAGGGACGGACGGGAUGGGACUCAGGAAAGGGAAAGAAACAGAAGCUAUGACCACAGUACAGAGUACUGAUUAAAGGAAAGGAGCAGA
rnacentral:sRNA from 1 species